rnacentral:lncRNA from 1 species
UGGAUAGAGCUUCCAAGUUCAAACAUGUUUUAUGUACCUUCCUCAUCAGAGAGCCAAAAAGCCAGCUACAUCUUUGCGGAUCCUCCUGCUUCGCAUUUCUGCUGGAUAAGUACACUCUUCAUUGAUGACAAGACUAUUAUAGUGGUGUCUAAUCCUAUCAGUGAUCAUCAGAUGAUAAACAGCUGAUGCAAUGACUAUGAACCUGCUCCCAUAACAAUGAACCUGAAUUGGUGGAUUUCACAUCCUUCAGUGCAAAUUUGUAAAGUUUGUUCCCUGCAUCCAGAAGUCUGCAUCAAUCAAGAGAAUUAAUCUGCAAUAGGUUAAGAAAACAAUUGAAGUGUACUGAGCAGAGACAAAUGAGGCUCCAAGGCAACGAGAGAAAACCCUGUAGAGCGAGAACCCAGAUGAGUCUUAGCCAAGACAUGAGUUUCAGGACUUCCAUUUGCAGCCAGAGAUGUUUGCAGGAUACAUCGUGCUUCGGCAGCUGCCCAGGCAGUUUCACAGAGAGAUCAGGUGUGAAAAUGCAUGAUGCAGUGGGCAAAAAACUGGAAAAAAUAAAUCAAUCUGGUUUUGAAGAUCAGACUACUCUGCUGCUUUGGAAGCUUGGUUUUCUGACUAAAAGGAGUCUUAGCCAAAACCAAAGUUAA